GGUGCCUGUGUUUGAGCAAUGUGUGUGACAAUAUAGUGGGCAUUGCUUAUGCAAUGUAUCUGUUGGAUAAUGUUCAGAAGGAUUAUGAUCUUUCUAUUUUAAGGGGGAUCUCCUAGAAAGUACUACAGUGGGAGACAUGGCCACAAACCUGCAUACUUCGUCCCGGAUUCAAUGUCAGUUUGGAAUCUUCUCGGAGAGUUCUGCAUUAGGAAGGUUAACAUGGUUGUUGUUCUAAA